CCUGGUUGAUUCUGCCAGUAGUCAUAUGCUUGUCUUAAAGAUUAAGCCAUGCAUGUCUAAGUAUAAGCAAUUAUACAGCGAAACUGCGAAUGGCUCAUUAAAUCAGUUAUCGUUUAUUUGAUAGUACCUUACUACAUGGAUAACCGUGGUAAUUCUAGAGCUAAUACAUGCUAAAAACCCCGACUUCGGAAGGGGUGUAUUUAUUAGAUUAAAAACCAAUGCCCUUCGGGGCUCACUGGUGAUUCAUGAUAACUUCUCGAAUCGCACGGCCUUGCGCUGGCGAUGGUUCAUUCAAAUUUCUGCCCUAUCAACUUUCGACGGCUGGGUCUUGGCCAGCCGUGGUGACAACGGGUAACGGAGGGUUAGGGCUCGACCCCGGAGAAAACGCCUGAGAAACGGCGUUUACAUCCAAGGAAGGCAGCAGGCGCGCAAAUUACCCAAUGCCGACACGGCGAGGUAGUGACGAGAAAUACUGAUACAGGGCUCUUUUGGGUCUUGUAAUUGGAAUGAGUACAAUUUAAAUCUCUUAACGAGGAACAAUUGGAGGGCAAGUCUGGUGCCAGCAGCCGCGGUAAUUCCAGCUCCAAUAGCGUAUAUUAAAGUUGUUGCAGUUAAAAAGCUCGUAGUUGAACCUUGGGCCUGGCUGGCCGGUCCGCCUCACCGCGUGCACUGGUCCGGCCGGGCCUUUCCCUCUGGGGAACCGCAUGCCCUUCACUGGGCGUGCCGGGGAACCAGGACUUUUACUUUGAAAAAAUUAGAGUGUUCAAAGCAGGCCUAUGCUCGAAUACAUUAGCAUGGAAUAAUAGAAUAGGACGCGUGGUUCUAUUUUGUUGGUUUCUAGGACCGCCGUAAUGAUUAAUAGGGACAGUCGGGGGCAUCAGUAUUCAAUUGUCAGAGGUGAAAUUCUUGGAUUUAUUGAAGACUAACUACUGCGAAAGCAUUUGCCAAGGAUGUUUUCAUUAAUCAGGAACGAAAGUUAGGGGAUCGAAGACGAUCAGAUACCGUCGUAGUCUUAACCAUAAACUAUGCCGACUAGGGAUCGGACGGUGUUAUUUUUUGACCCGUUCGGCACCUUACACGAAAGUACAAGUUUCUGGGUUCUGGGGGGAGUAUGGUCGCAAGGCUGAAACUUAAAGAAAUUGACGGAAGGGCACCACCAGGGGUGGAGCCUGCGGCUUAAUUUGACUCAACACGGGGAAACUCACCAGGUCCAGACAUGAAAAGGAUUGACAGAUUGAGAGCUCUUUCUUGAUUUUAUGGGUGGUGGUGCAUGGCCGUUCUUAGUUGGUGGAGUGAUUUGUCUGCUUAAUUGCGAUAACGAACGAGACCUUAACCUGCUAAAUAGCCCGCGUCGCUUUGGCGGCGCGCCGGCUUCUUAGAGGGACUAUCGGCU
rnacentral:rRNA from 1 species